ensembl:lncRNA
UUAAAAGGUACUCCUUCUCAUGGUGAUAAGAAGAAAAAGUCUUUAGUGACAAGUAACCAAGUUAUUCUAUUCACUUGUUUGUACCACAAUUUUAACAUUUACUGCACUUUAUGUACCUACAGCGGCUAAUGAAUCAGAAGUCUCACACAUUCACAGGAAAUAACUUAAACCACAUGAAAAAGUCCAAUUACAGAGCCUGUUUGAGAAAGCAGAAGAGAAAAUAAAACAAGGUGAAAAGAUACUUCAAGAACAUCAGAAAGCUUGUCGCAGCAUCAUAGUAAGUUUAAACCUCUAUGCAUCCCCUAUUUAAUCUAAAUAAAAGUAAAUAUUCUAACCUGAGAUAUAAGGACUACAGGUUCUCAUAAAUGAACACAACAUGCACGCAUUACAUAUUGUGUGUGUGUGUGUGUGUGUGUGUGUGUGUGUGUGUUUCAGGAGGACUAUUCUGUGAGUGAUGUCUCCCAGGUGUUACAGAUGGGUUCAGCCCUGCAGGCUCAGGUGGGCAGACUGGUGUCAGCCGUGAUAAAAAUCACGGAGCUGGAGAGACAGCAGGUCAUGGAGAGGGUGCAGGAAGAGUGCAGCAGAGAAAGAGAAGAUCUGAACCAAACUGAGAGCAUCCACCACUUAUUUGGCUCCCUGCUGGAUGAGAGCGACCCCUUCCUGCUCAUCUGGGAUGAUGGCAGAUCUCAACACACCUCUGUUCACACCACCUUAGCCCAGCAUGGAUAAGAAAUGUGUUUUAGAGAAUGUGGAAAAUAAAUACAGAGAAUUCAUAGCUGAGACCCUGCA